AACGAACGCUGGCGGCAUGCCUAACACAUGCAAGUCGAACGAGACCUUCGGGUCUAGUGGCGCACGGGUGCGUAACGCGUGGGAACCUGCCCUUAGGUUCGGAAUAACUCCCCGAAAGGGGUGCUAAUACCGGAUAAUGUCUUCGGACCAAAGAUUUAUCGCCUUUGGAUGGGCCCGCGUUGGAUUAGCUAGUUGGUAGGGUAAAAGCCUACCAAGGCGACGAUCCAUAGCUGGUCUGAGAGGAUGAUCAGCCACACUGGGACUGAGACACGGCCCAGACUGAGCGGGGAGGGAGCAGCGGGGAAUGGUGGACAUUGGCAAAAGGAGAGAGCAAGGAAUGGGGUGUGGGUGAUGAAGUCCGUAGGGUUGAAAACCGCUGGGACCUGGAAUGAGAACGACAGGAGGGGGACAACAAGCUCCAGCUAACGCCGUGCCAGCAGCAGCGGUAAUCAUCGGAAGAGCAAACGCCUGACG
rnacentral:rRNA from 1 species